CCAUUCUGAGGUCAUCAAGUUACAUUCUGAAGUCAUCAAGUACCAUUCUGAGGUCAUCAAGUUACAUUCUGAAGUCAAGUACCAUUCUGAGGUCAUCAAGUACCAUUCUGAGGUACCAUUCUGAGGUCAUCAAGUACCAUUCUGAGGUCAUCAAGUUACAUUCUGAAGUCAUCAAGUAACAUUCUGAGGUCAUCAAGUUACAUUCUGAAGUCAAGUACCAUUCUGAGGUCAUCAAGUUACAUUCUGAAGUCAUCAAGUAACAUUCUGAGGUCAU